rnacentral:rRNA from 1 species
AGCGAACGCUGGCGGCAGGCCUAACACAUGCAAGUCGAACGAAGUCUUCGGACUUAGUGGCGGACGGGUGAGUAACACGUGGGAACGUGCCUUUAGGUUCGGAAUAACUCAGGGAAACUUGUGCUAAUACCGAAUGUGCCCUUCGGGGGAAAGAUUUAUCGCCUUUAGAGCGGCCCGCGUCUGAUUCGCUAGUUGGUGAGGUAAAGGCUCACCAAGGCGACGAUCAGGAGCUGGUCUGAGAGGAUGAUCAGCCACAUUGGGACUGAGACACGGCCCAAACUCCUACGGGAGGCAGCUGUGGGGAAUCUUGCGCAAUGGGCGAAAGCCUGACGCAGCCAUGCCGCGUGAAUGAUGAAGGUCUUAGGAUUGUAAAAUUCUUUCACCGGGGACGAUAAUGACGGUACCCGGAGAGAAGCCCCGGCUAACUUCGUGCCAGCCGCCGCGGUAACAC